GUUCAUUUUUUACUAGACUUCAGACUAUUAAAAGAUAAGAUUGAAAAAAACUUGUAGCAGGCUUGAGGCAAGCAGCCCACAGACUCAUUUAUUUCAGCUUAUAUAGUCAAGAUCAGCCAAUCCAUUCAAGGGCCGGUCUAUGCCCCAACCAUUCACAGCCUGUUGCCAGUCAGGCUCUUGUUACCAGGCAGUUUCUGAAACCAUCCAAUCACGGCCUGCCGUCAGUCAGGCUCUGUUGUCAUGUGGUUUUCUCUGUUGUCAUGUGGUUUCUGAAGCCAUCCAAUCACAGCCUGUUGCCAGGCAGUUUCUGUUGUCAGUGGCCAUCAUGGCAUGAACUUUUCACCACAGCGGCCAUCUUGGCAUGAACUUUUCACCUCAUUCCACCACAAAUGAGUAUCGAAAAUUCUCUAAGAUUUGGUACUGUGAUGUGACCCAGUUAAGAAGGUCCUGAACAGGCACUGAUUCCAUCAAUGAGACUGCCCAAUAUUGAAUCUUCAACCUCCCAAACUAUGAACUAAGUUUCCUUUUUGGUGCUCGGUUAGUUGUCACCGAUCAGGGAGAACAUACCAGCACUUCUGAGCUUUAACCAUCUGGGACCCGGAAGGAACAAACUCCUCCCUCUUAAGACCACUCACUGCCAGGUAGUGUCUCCAGCUGGAGCUGCUGAUGGGAAAAGGGCGGGAGGGAGACGCGGUGAGCCACAGUGACCGCGGCUCAGCGCCUCCCUCCGUGCCCACAAGCGCUCAGGGUCGUGGAAGAUGCAGCGGUGGGCACGGGCCGGUGAGGGGACCUGGGGAAGGAAAGGGCCAGCUCUUCAGCCCUGGGUCCCAGGGAACCUUCCCACCACUCCGGAAGAAAGGAGGACUCCCCGGCUCAUCCUAAAACGACGCCGGGCCUCUCUGAGCUCUGGCAAAUGCGGGCCAGGGUGGCUGAGCCAGCGAACACCGGGGCCCCCACCCGAGCGGCGCGCCGGUGGUCUGGGAGCGGCGCCCGGCGCAGAUGGCGCUGGCAGCGAC